AACGAACGCUGGCGGCAUGCCUAACACAUGCAAGUCGAACGAGACCUUCGGGUCUAGUGGCGCACGGGUGCGUAACGCGUGGGAACCUGCCCUUAGGUUCGGAAUAACUCCCCGAAAGGGGUGCUAAUACCGGAUAAUGUCUUCGGAGCAAAGAUUUAUCGCCUUUGGAUGGGCCCGCGUUGGAUUAGCUAGUUGGUAGGGUAAAAGCCUACCAAGGCGACGAUCCAUAGCUGGUCUGAGAGGAUGAUCAGCCACACUGGGACUGAGACACGGCCCAGACUCCUACGGGAGGCAGCAGUGGGGAAUAUUGGACAAUGGGCGAAAGCCUGAUCCAGCAAUGCCGCGUGAGUGAUGAAGGCCUUAGGGUUGUAAAGCUCUUUUACCCGGGAUGAUAAUGACAGUACCGGGAGAAUAAGCUCCGGCUAACUCCGU
rnacentral:rRNA from 1 species